UACGUAGGGGGCAAGCGUUGUCCGGAAUCAUUGGGCGUAAAGAGCGUGUAGGCGGCCAGAUAAGUCCGCUGUGAAAUCUCGAGGCUCAACUUCGAGCUGUCGGUGGAAACUGUCUGGCUAGAGUCCGGAAGAGGAGAAUGGAAUUCCUGGUGUAGCGGUGAAAUGCGCAGAUAUCAGGAGGAACACCGGUGGCGAAGGCGGGUCUCUGGGCCGGAUACUGACGCUGAGGAGCGAAAGCGUGGGGAGCGAACAGG
rnacentral:rRNA from 1 species